AGAGUUUGAUUCCUGGCUCAGAUUGAACGCUGGCGGCAUGCCUAACACAUGCAAGUCGAACGGAAACGAUGGGAGCUUGCUCCCAGGCGUCGAGUGGCGGACGGGUGAGUAAUACUUAGGAAUCUGCCCAGUAGUGGGGGACAACUCGAGGAAACUCGAGCUAAUACCGCAUACGCCCCAAGGGGGAAAGCGGAGGAUCUUUCGGGACUUCGCGCUAUUGGAUGAGCCUAAGUCGGAUUAGCUUGUUGGUGAGGUAAAAGCUCACCAAGGCGACGAUCCGUAGCUGGUCUGAGAGGACGAUCAGCCACACUGGGACUGAGACACGGCCCAGACUCCUACGGGAGGCAGCAGUGGGGAAUAUUGGACAAUGGGGGAAACCCUGAUCCAGCAAUGCCGCGUGUGUGAAGAAGGCCUGCGGGUUGUAAAGCACUUUCAGUAGAGAAGAAAAGCCUAGGGUUAAUACCCCUGGGUCUUGACGUUACCUACAGAAGAAGCUCCGGCUAACUCCGUGCCAGCAGCCGCGGUAAUACGGAGGGAGCGAGCGUUAAUCGGAAUUACUGGGCGUAAAGCGCGCGUAGGCGGCUUUGUAAGUCGGAUGUGAAAGCCCUGGGCUCAACCUGGGAAUGGCAUUCGAUACUGCAUAACUAGAGUAUGGUAGAGGGAAGUGGAAUUUCCGGUGUAGCGGUGAAAUGCGUAGAU
rnacentral:rRNA from 1 species